AACGAACGCUGGCGGCAGGCCUAACACAUGCAAGUCGAGCGGACCCUUCGGGGUUAGCGGCGGAUGGGUGAGUAACGCGUGGGAACGUGCCCUUUGCUUCGGAAUAGCUCUGGGAAACUGGGAGUAAUACCGGAUACGCCCUUAUGGGGAAACAUUUAUCGGCGAAGGAUCGGCCCGCGUUGGAUUAGGUAGUGGGUGGGGUAAUGGCCUCCCAAGCCGAUGAUGCAUAGCUGGUUUGAGAGGAUGAUCAGCCACACUGGGACUGAGACACGGCCCAGACUCCUACGCGAAGCAGCAGUGGGGAAUCUUAGACAAUGGGGGAAACCCUGAUCUAGCCAUGCCGCGUGAGCGAUGAAGGCCUUAGGGUUGUAAAGCUCUUUCACCGGGGAAGAUAAUGACGGUACCCGGAGAAGAAGCCCCGGCUAACUCCGUG
rnacentral:rRNA from 1 species